rnacentral:rRNA from 1 species
UACAGAGGUCCCAAGCGUUGUUCGGAUUCACUGGGCGUAAAGGGUGCGUAGGUGGUGAGGUAAGUCGGAUGUGAAAGCUCCGAGCUCAACUCGGAAAUGGCAUUGGAAACUACCUUGCUCGAGGAUUUGAGGGGGGACUGGAAUACUUGGUGUAGCAGUGAAAUGCGUAGAUAUCAAGUAGAACACCAGUGGCGAAGGCGGGGACCUGGGUAGAGACUGACGCUGAGGUGCGAAAGCGUGGGGAGCAAACGGG